AAUUUUAAACAGAGAACUUAGAAGGCUACUGAUAAAACUUUGUGAACGUGAUCCUGGGACUGCCCUUUCCUCAGGAAGGAAAUGUUUACCCCUGUGGAGCAAACUGGCAACAGUUCUGAUUUCUUUGGAAUAACUAGAAGUCAACAGGUUUCAUUUAGAGGCCAAUCUGAUCCAUGUGUCAGUUUUCACCCUUAAUUACUGUGUAACUUUGUAUACUUUGCCAUUGUUCUUGGACAGUAAGCAUUCAGUAUAAGGUAUAUUUUUUUAUGUAUUCUUUAGCAUGCUUUAUCUUGCUCUUUGAAUCCAGUAAGGGGUUACAGCUGAGUUAAAAUUUCCAAUGGGCCGAAAAUUUGAAGUCCUGACAACAUCAAGUAAAUGACCUGGAGCAGGAAGACCUGGAGCUCCAUCCAGUUGGAUCAGUGCAAAAACCUUUUAGGAAAUAUCUCCUGCAUUCUAAAUUCAGAUACUCAUGGGGUUUGAAGCAAGGAAGAGGAAUGUGCAUGACCUCCAAUGGAAAGCAAAACACAGCUUAGAUGCAGUAACUGGAUGAUCAGCUUUCGUUCAAAACAGCCCCUUGACUCUGAGUUUACGGCUCAGAUGAUACAAAGAAAACAGAGUUAUAUAUUGCUGAAUUUUCCAUGCAGUACAGUAACUGCCUGAUUAGAUGAUGUUUUUCUAAAGAGAAGCUAAGCCACUUUAUAUAUUCCACCCUAGGCUUCCUUCCUUAUUAAAGGGGUUGUUCAAUUCAGUUAUUUUCAAAUUGUUCACCAGUAAUAAAACCCUUUUUCAGUU